rnacentral:tRNA from 1 species
GCCACCUUAGCUCAGUUGGUAGAGCAGCUGUUUUGUAAACAGCAUGUCGUCAGUUCGAGUCUGGCAGGUGGCU